CUGCGAUGAGUUCCAGAGCAUUUAUCCCGAGAUCCACAACUGCGUCGAGCUCGUCAGCGUCUAUCUCUUUCAGCUGGCACCGUCCACCUCGCACAGAUCCAGGAUUGCCGAGGCUUACAACUCGUGCCUCAUGUGGCAGAACUCGAGCAGCAUGCUGGAAGAAGCCGGAAGGAACGAUCGGAAGGAGCUCAUGGCUCUCGCAAUGAGCCAAGAGCCGGGAAGCCUGACGACCGAGACAGAACGAGCCAAAGAGAUACUCUGCUCCGUGCUCCUGGGAAACAAGUCAGUGAUUAACCACAAGGAACUCAAGCUGACAACACACCUGGGACAAGGAGCUUACGGAACCGUGUACGAAGCAAUCUGGCUCGGUCACAAGUUUGCAGUGAAAGUCUUCCCUCAAGGUGACACCAGCUUCGCCAAAGAGCUCGCGGUUCUUGAAGCGGACAAGCAUCCCAACGUGUUGCACAUCGCCAGCCAUUCUUUCGAUGCAGAGAAGCAGCGGUACUCGCUGGUGAUGGAGAAGAUGGACAUGGACCUGGCAAACUACCUCCUCAAGAAGAAGAAGUCUCUCCCGUUGCUGUCGAUCGUGGCAGUGAUGCUCCAAGUUGCUACUGGCAUGGCGUGGCUUCACUCGAAGAAUAUAAUCCACCGGGACCUCAAGCCGCAGAACAUCUUGGUUGGCGAAGAAGACAACGAUCUCGUGAGUAUCAGGAUUGCCGACUUUGGAGUCUCGAGGCCCGAUUUCAUCUCCUCCCUCAUCAGCGAAGCCACCGCCAAGCAAGGCACCAGAAACUUCAUGGCACCGGAAGUGUGGAGCGGCGAGCGCUACACGAAAAAGGCCGACGUUUACAGCUACGGGAUGAUGAUUUACCAGCUUGUCACUGGAAACGUUCCGUUCGAGGACGGGAUGGACAUGGAGCAAGUCCUUCGAGGCGAGCGUCCUGAGGUACCAGCAACCUGUCCAGAGUUCCUGUCGCAGCUCAUGCGGGAAUGCUGGAGCCACGAUGCAAAAGAGAGGCCUUCCUUCUCGGAUAUCUGUGAGCGGCUGAAGCAGCUCAAGACCAGGAUCAUCACUGGCACCGACUCCAUCGACGAGUUACGAGCCAAGUUGGUUGAAGCAGCCAGGUCAUCUUCCUCUUCUUCGUACUCGUCGUCUUCCUCGUCCUCGUCGCACAGCAUGAACCUGGAUUCUCCUGUCCAAGCACCUGAGGGGCUUUGGACCCAAAAUCCUCCAUCUCCCGUUGUCCAGGUAAACUCUUUUGCUUUUAGUAACUCCACCUUUAGUUUCAGCCGGCACCACACCGUCCUCAGCACGUCGCACCAGCAGCAAAGCCGGAUAACAGGGCCGAGCUCUUCGAACUGGUGAAGAACGGCCUCGUCAAAAACGCCUUUGAGAAAGCUCUGUCCCUGAACGAUCCUUCCACGUUCUGGUGGCUUUGCACCAAGGUAAUCCAUUCACGUCCUCCAGCUGCUCAUCAAAGCUUUGUCAGCUCAGGUGGAGGAAAGCGUCCUGCUCACCUUCAGUGAAUCAAUGCUCAUGGAAGUGGCCGAGCAAAUCAACACCAACUUCAAGGAAGACACUGCUCGCAGGUUGCUCUGGAUGGACGAGAUCCUGGCCAUCUUGAUGUUGGUCGACACAUCACCUCGGAUGCGGAGGAUAUUGGAGAAGCUUUCACAGAACCUCCACGGCAUGAUGGCUAUAACACCUUCAAAGAACGAGCUGGGGAUGAAGCUGGCGAGAGUGCUGGAAGAUACCAACUUGGGUCUUCAUGUACGUAUGAAACUCUUCGUGUUAUUCGUUUGAUUCAAAUCGUUUGUCGUCGCAGGAUAUCCGAGUUGAGAACAGCAAAGCUGAGAAGAAAGGGAAAAGAAAACAGGGACCUAUGAUGUGAAAUAAAACAGCUAUAUAUUUCCAGCGGAACACCGGUAGUUUCUGAGUAUUGAGAUCUAAUUUUCUGCCUGCCAAAAGUAUCAACCAUGCUUCACGAAAGAACCAUAAAGAACUUACCAAUUCCCAUUCGUAACUUCGUCUCAUCCUGCCGGGAUAAACGUGAAGGAAACUUACGAGAUAAAUAUCAAAGCACAAAGGUCUCACCAUUCUUUAGUUCUUAAACUCGAGUAGACGGUGAAGAUCCCAACCUUUUCGAUCUGGCAGCAGAGCCUUGGCAGCUUCCGCCGCAGCGCAGACACCAGUAGUUCUCGUAGGAUCAUCGCUCUCCGCUCAAAGAACGAUUUUGCCGCUUUCAACUUCUCGGGAUCCCCAUACUUGUAUGGCUUGUAGACGAUCCCGGCAGCUAGCCGUUGCUUCUUGAGCUUGGCUGGACGAACGUACGCAUCGCCCAGUCUCUUCAAGCGCUUCUGGAUCACUCUCCUCCGGUACACUUGCGGCUCGGGGAUCUUGGGAUCGGCGAGCGGCAGGCGAUCCGGAGGAGGCACAGCAACCCACCUGAAAAUCCGAUCGUUCGCGUCACCGCCUCCCGCUUUGUUGCGCUUGGCCGGAUUCUUGGAGCCGGCGCCCUCGCCGUGCAAGCACUGCGUGUGGACGAGGAAUUUGCUCCGGAGCCACACGAGUAAGCGCCUGCUCUUGAUCCCUUCCUUCGCGUGAGAUUGCGCGAUCCAAUCGGGCCAUAGGUGCGAACAUUCUGCGUCGGCAGAUCCUUGGGGCUCUUCUUGGCGUAGACCUCGUGGAUGUAGAGGCGCAACGAGCGAGCUCCACUUAAAGAACCCUAUCGAAAUAUCGAUUGCAGAACAGAAUCGAACUAGAACAAGAACAGCAUGAUCCAUUUCUAGUCUCUCGUAAGUCCACGAUUGACGAGGUCGAGCGCGCAACCUGUGCUCGCUGCGCCAAGAAGAAUCCGCCAAACUUUCUGGACAGGCGCUCAAGACGUUACGUGCAAACCACUGGUGGGCAUGCAGGAUAGUGUCGUCAAACGCUAUGCUACCGGGAUGCGAGAGUGAACUAGCAGGGCGGAAACUAGGGUAUCCUGGCCGUCCAAUCCUAAACAACCUGUUUGGAGUACUGAAACAAGAAAAGCCAUACACGGAUUUUCUUAUGCCUGAUUAAAGUAUCCCAGACAAGACUUAGAACUUAGAAUAUUCAAAAAGAAAAGUCCACGGUAGACACUCUGCAAAGAAAUGGAGCGGCGCUAGUGGUGAUCACCAACGAGCAUGGCAGCAGCGACUUUGCUCGAGGCGAUUCGAAUCGCGGACAAGGUUGGCACAAGAUCCACGAACACAAACUCGAGCAAGGUCUGUAGAAACCCAUGUAGGAUCCUCAUCGCGGCGGUCGGCUAUGUCCGAGACUACCUCAAGCAAAUCCAAGAUCUCAACUUCACGAGCAACGGGCCAGCCUUCGUGUGGGACGAAACCGUGGCUGUCCUUCACAGAGGCCUCCAUCUCCUCAAGUCAUGCCAAGAUGGCGAUUGGAUCGCCCGGAGCCUGCUGUUCGAGGAAAGCUGCGAUGAGUUCCAGAGCAUUUACCACGAGAUCUACAACUGCGUCGAGCUCGUCAGCGUCUAUCUCUUUCAGCUGGCACCGUCCACCUCGCACAGAUCCAGGAUUGCCGAGGCUUACAACUCGUGCCUCAUGAGGCAGAACUCGAGCAGCAUGCUGGAAGAAGCCGGAAGGAACGAUCGGAAGGAGCUCAUGGCUCUCGCAAUGAACCAAGAGCCGGGAAGCCUGACGACCGAGACAGAACGAGCCAAAGAGAUACUCUGCUCCAUGCUCCUGGGAAACAAGUCAGUGAUCAACCACAAGGAAUUGAAGCUGAGAACACACCUGGGACAAGGAGCUUACGGAACCGUGUACGAAGCAAUCUGGCUCGGUCACAAGUUCGCGGUGAAAGUCUUCGCUCAAGGUGACACCAG
rnacentral:lncRNA from 1 species